GACGAACGCUGGCGGCGUGCUUAACACAUGCAAGUCGAACGAGUGGCGAACGGGUGAGUAAUACGUGAGUAACCUGCCCUCUUUUUGGGAUAAGCCUUGGAAACGGGGUCUAAUACAGGAUAACGGGGGAUGGGAUCGCGGCCUCUCAGCUUGGUGGGUGGGUGAUGGCCUACCAAGGCGGUGACGGGUAGCCGGCCUGAGAGGGUGACCGGCCACAUUGGGACUGAGAUACGGCCCAGACUCCUACUGGAGGCAGCAGUGGGGGAUAUUGCACAAUGGGCGAAAGCCUGAUUCAGCGACGCCGCGUGGGGGAUGAAGGCUUUCGGGUUGUAAACCUCUUUCGCGAUCGAACUGGUAGGUGGAGAAGAAGCGCCGGCUAACUACGUGCCAGCAGCCGCGGUAAUAC
rnacentral:rRNA from 1 species